rnacentral:lncRNA from 1 species
ACGAAUCAUCAUCACUCUUGGCGAGCCAACACUCCGGUUGAGAUUGAUCAAGGUUUAGGACAUAUAGCCUAUUCCGUGUGCGAUUAACACGAGCUAGCACGUUUCGGAGGUUGUCGAAGAUCGUCAUCACUCCGCUCUCGAUAUUCACCUUCCAUCCAUUCUCGUCAAACUUCCCAAUAGAGAUGAUGUUGUUGCGCAGCCGUGGGAUGUAGUACACUCCGGUG